rnacentral:rRNA from 1 species
CCAGAAUAAGGGAUGGGCAAGACCGGUGCCAGCCGCCGCGGUAAUACCGGCAGCCCAAGUGAUGGCCGAUCUUAUUGGGCCUAAAGCGUCCGUAGCUGGCCGCGCAAGUCCAUCGGGAAAAUCCACCUGCUCAACAGGUGGGCGCCCGGUAGAAACUGCGUGGCUUGGGACCGGAAGGCGCGACGGGUACGUCCGGGGUAGGAGUGAAAUCCCGUAAUCCUGGACGGACCGCCGAUGGCGAAAGCACGUCGCGAGAACGGAUCCGACAGUGAGGGACGAAAGCCAGGGUCUCGAACCGGAUUAGAUACCCGGGUAGUCCUGGCCGUAAACAAUGUCUGCUAGGUGUGGCUCCCACUACGAGUGGGUGCUGUGCCGUAGGGAAGCCGCUAAGCAGACCGCCUGGGAAGUACGUCCGCAAGGAUGAAACUUAAAGGAAUUGGCGGGGGAGCACUACAACCGGAGGAGCCUGCGGUUUAAUUGGACUCAACGCCGGACAUCUCACCAGCAUCGACUGUAAUAAUGACGAUCAGGUUGAUGACCUUAUCCGAGCUUCAGAGAGGAG